UACGUAGGGUGCGAGCGUUGUCCGGAAUUAUUGGGCGUAAAGAGCUCGUAGGCGGUCUGUCGCGUCGAAUGUGAAAACCCGGGGCUCAACUCCGGGCUUGCAUUCGAUACGGGCAGGCUAGAGUUCGGUAGGGGAGUCUGGAAUUCCUGGUGUAGCGGUGAAAUGACGCAGAUAUCAGGAGGAACACCGGUGGCGAAGGCGGGACUCUGGGCCGAUACUGACGCUGAGGAGCGAAAGCGUGGGGAGCGAACAGG
rnacentral:rRNA from 1 species